ensembl:snoRNA LOC120102687 small nucleolar RNA SNORA17
CCUAGAGGCAUUGCAGGUGUGACUACAGCAGUCACAUGUGUGACAGAGAGGAGUGAGGCUGAAUCUACUCUCAGUGUUCUGAGCUAUGAAUAUCUGAAUGAUUCAUAGCCUAACAUU